UGUUGCAGUUAAAAAGCUCGUAGUCGAACCUUGGGUCUGGCUGGCCGGUCCGCCUCACCGCGAGUACUGGUCCGGCUGGACCUUUCCUUCUGGGGAACCCCAUGGCCUUCACUGGCCGUGGCGGGGAACCAGGACUUUUACUGUGAAAAAAUUAGAGUGUUCAAAGCAGGCCUUUGCUCGAAUACAUUAGCAUGGAAUAAUAGAAUAGGACGUGUGGUUCUAUUUUGUUGGUUUCUAGGACCGCCGUAAUGAUUAAUAGGGAUAGUCGGGGGCGUCAGUAUUCAGCUGUCAGAGGUGAAAUUCUUGGAUUUGCUGAAGACUAACUACUGCGAAAGCAUUCGCCAAGGAUGUUUUCAUUAAUCAGGGAACGAAAGUUAGGGGAUCGAAGACGAUCAGAUACCGUCGUAGUCUUAACCAUAAACUAUGCCGACUAGGGAUCGGACGGUGUUUCUAUUAUGACCCGUUCGGCACCUUACGAGAAAUCAAAGUUUUUGGGUUCUGGGGGGAG
rnacentral:rRNA from 1 species